rnacentral:sRNA from 1 species
UGGAAAAGAGUGGGGUUGCAGAGGGAGACCCUACAGGAGGCCUGAAGCUGACACCAAGGGACACCAGGGUGGAAAUAAUGAGCUGACACCCAGGAGAUGACACAGAAAGUGAUGUUCUGGGUAGAGAAAGCUACCAUGGGGACCACAAAGGAUGGCUGACUCUGCAGGAUGCUAAAGCCAAAAGGAAGAGGAGCGUGCAAACUCUCAUAUCAAGGGCCUCCUCGGUUGCUUCCCACCGUGUUAGUUUUGAGGACCAGAGCAUCCUUGGAAUCAUGAAGGCAUUUAGGGACAAUCCUGUCCAGAAUGAACCUGCUGGCCCUCACGCCCCCAUCAGACCGGUGAGAACAAGCUGUGGG